rnacentral:rRNA from 1 species
AUUGAACGCUGGCGGCAUGCCUAACACAUGCAAGUCGAACGAGUGGCGGACGGGUGAGUAAUGUAUGGGAAUCUGCCCGAUGGAGGGGGAUAACUACUGGAAACGGUAGCUAAUACCGAAUACUAUCGGAUGUGCCCAUAUGGGAUUAGCUAGUAGGUGAGGUAACGGCUCACCUAGUCGACGAUCCCUAGCUGGUCUGAGAGGAUGACCAGCCAGACUGGAACUGAGAGACGGCCCAGACUCCUACGUGAGGAAGCAGUGGGGAAUAUUGCACAAUGGGCGAAAGUCUGAUGCAGCCAUGCCGCGUGUAUGAAGAAGGCUCUAGGGUUGGAAAGUACUUUCAGUGGGGAGGCGUUACUCGCAGAAGAAGCAACGGCUAACUCCGUGCCAGCAGCCGCGGUAAUUC